UGAUUGCGUGAGUGAUAGUAGCGGAAAUCCUUUUGCGAGGAACGAGCUAAAGAUUGUAACGGAUAGCACGACCCGAG
rnacentral:sRNA from 1 species